rnacentral:rRNA from 1 species
UCCGGGGGGGGCAAGCGUUGUUCGGAAUUCCUGGGCGUAAAGGGUUCGUAGGCGGCCAACUAAGUCAGACGUGAAAUCCCUCGGCUUAACCGGGGAACUGCGUCUGAUACUGGAUGGCUUGAAUCCGGGAGAGGGAUGCGGAAUUCCAGGUGUAGCGGUGAAAUGCGUAGAUAUCUGGAGGAACACCGGUGGCGAAGGCGGCAUCCUGGACCGGCAUUGACGCUGAGGAGCGAAAGCCAGGGGAGCAAACGGG